CAAAGGCGGUCCCCGGGCGGCUGCCAGCGCGCGCUGCCCCCUGGUGGCGAGUCGCUCCUCUGCAGCCAGCAAGCGAGCCGUCCCUUUGUUUUCCUGCUGCGGCUCCUGCCAGGGUUUGCUGGGAAUUCUGGAAGGGCCUGCCGAUCCUCUGCAUCCUACGGUGGAAGGAGAAGUGAGCACAGAGGGCACCCUGGUUUCUCAGAGGUUCAUCCUAACAACACCAGACAUUUCACUGGUAGAGGUCAUCUACUGCUACCGAGGCCGAAAAUGCCAGGUACUCAUUUCCCCAGCCUCUUUUGACCCAGUUCUGGACAAUGAGGGAAAGGUGACUGGCCCGGAAACCACCCCCCACCCCCUUUUUGCCUUUGGACACAGUUUUGUGAGGACGGUGUCAGAAGCAGGCAUGAACACCUUGUGACCUGGAGGCGAAGGCUGAAAGGAUCUUGAAGAAGCCGACCCAGGCCCUUCUGUCAUCAGCUGAAUGAGCCAGGCCUGGGCCCUCCUGGCUCCUGAGGGUCCCAAGGCUAAGAGAAGGUUAGGCGUCAUGCCCAAGGAAUCGCGGCUGCUGGGAGGCUACCAGCCCAUCGUGAUGACUCUUGGAGGCAGAAGCUCUUUCUCAUGUCUUUUCCAGAAGUGAUUUCUACUAUACCGCAGCUGAAGCUCAGGGUCGUAGAGUCUAUGCAAGGUCACUCAACUGAGAUGCGGCACAGACAUUCCUAAUCUAGGGAGGGGGCCUGGGUGAAAUUCAGGACACCUCCUUCAAUGCAAAUUUCAGGUAAACAGUAAGUUUGUGUAAGCGUUAAGUCAGUCCUAGGCAAUAUUGGGGAUAUUUUCACACUCACGCUGUGUUGUUAGCGUGGAAUUCAAUUUUCACUGUGCGUUCUGUGUAUUUAUUUGCUAAAUCUAGCAAACCGUGUAGGCUGGGGGUCUUGCUUUUGUGUCCCCCAUUGCAGCACUGCACUGAAUCCACGCGGCAUGGUGAA